UGCGUAGGCGGAAUAUUAAGUCAGUGGUGAAAUCCUGCGGCUCAACCGUAGAACUGCCAUUGAUACUGAUGUUCUUGAAUGUAGUUGAGGUAGGCGGAAUGUGUAAUGUAGCGGUGAAAUGCUUAGAUAUUACACAGAACACCGAUUGCGAAGGCAGCUUACUAAACUAUGAUUGACGCUGAUGUACGAAAGCGUGGGGAGCGAACAGGAUUAGAUACCCUGGUAGUC
rnacentral:rRNA from 1 species